GGGAAGAGUUAAAUGGUGAUCAGCUUUGGCUGAUAGCUCAGGCUCCAAAGUUCAGUCCCAGUCCCAGCCACCCCCGAGGAAUUGUAAAUCUCAGGGCAGCAUUUAACAAAACAAAAGCAACCUGGAAUUACAUGCAGGGCUGGGUGAGUCAGCCUGGCUUGGGUCGGAGUUGGGUGACAGCCGGCUCACCCUCCCUACUCCCCGGCACCAGGUCUGGGGAAGCUGGAGGGAGAGGUGCUGGGACUACCAAAAGUUACAGGCAGCGCUGGGAGGCUAGGAUCCCCUCCCAGGCUGUAUUGGGGGGUGGGGUGGGGACAGGGCUGAAGGUAAGAACAAGGGCCCUUUAUCAGCUGCCGGUUCCCCUCUCUCCAGGUUUCCAAACACCUGGGCCUCCCAGCGCCUGUCAAGCCAGACUAGACCAUCAAAGACCACUUCCCCUUUUUUCAAACCCAAACCAAGUAUCCUCUCUCUUCGUGCCUCCAGCGCUGCAGCCGCCCAGGUUGGGGCUGGGGAGCGGGUUGCCAAGGAAAAUACGAAGCGCCAGCAAGCAGCCGCUGGCUCCCAGCUCCCCCCAGGAGCGCACACACCCUCCACUCGCCGCGGUGGCUGCAAAGAGGGGAAGCGAGGAGGGGGAACGCAACACCUUCCCGGGGAGGGAGGAAUGGGGUGGGAAAUGGGUGGGUCUCCCAAGUUUCGGGGUGGGGGUGAAUAGCCAGCCAAGCCACAGAUCUGGGAGCACAUCAGCUCGGGACCUGCCAAAACAGACAGUCCAGUGCCCGGGAAAUUUACAAGGUGAAACUGACUAGCUCAGCGUUCGCGGGUGGCGCAGAGAAGUCGGGCGGCGGGCGACUCUCAGAUCCCGGGCGCCGGCACGGGUGGGUUCGGGCGGCGGCGGCAGGUGGGCGCACCGCCCCCCCUCCCCUCCGCUCCCGCGGUCCCAAGCAACAACAGCCCCCACCCGCCGGACUCGCCUCGCCCCCCGUACCUUCUUGGCGCCGCGUUCUGCGAACUCGCGAGCGAGCUGGCGCCCGAUGCCUCUGCCGCCGCCGGUGAUGAGCACGUUCUCCCGAGACAGGUCCCGCAGCUUGGCGGGCAGCACCAGUCCGACGGCCGCUUUCGCCACCAGAUAGACCAUCUGGAGAGGGAACACCACCAACGCGCCCAGCCAUUUCCACACCAUCCUCCGCGCCGCGGAGCCGGGCAGGGCGGGGGGCGAAACUCCCCGAGCCGGACAAAACAGGAAUCGAAAAAGAAAACACCUCCAAACAAUAAUAAAUACACGGAAUGAGGGGCAGACAGGAGUCCCACCUGGCCACUCUGGAAACCACCUCUUCCCAAGUGCAAGGCACCGGGUGAGAAAAAGAG